rnacentral:rRNA from 1 species
GACAGAGGGUGCAAACGUUGUUCGGAAUUACUGGGCGUAAAGGGCGCGUAGGCGGCCCGCUAAGUCGAACGUGAAAUCCCCAGGCUCAACCUGGGAACUGCGUCCGAUACUGGCAGGCUUGAAUCCGGGAGAGGGAUGUGGAAUUCCAGGUGUAGCGGUGAAAUGCGUAGAUAUCUGGAGGAACACCGGUGGCGAAGGCGGCAUCCUGGACCGGUAUUGACGCUGAGGCGCGAAAGCUAGGGGAGCAAACGGG